GCACGCAAAUUACCCACUCCCGGCACGGGGAGGUAGUGACAAAAAAUAACGAUACGGGACUCUUUUGAGGCCUCGUAAUCGGAAUGAGUACACUUUAAAUCCUUUAACAAGGAUCCAUUGGAGGGCAAGUCUGGUGCCAGCAGCCGCGGUAAUUCCAGCUCCAAUAGCGUAUAUUAAAGUUGUUGCGGUUAAAAAGCUCGUAGUUGGUUCUGCGUGCCACGCUGUCGGUACACCGUUUGUCGGUGCAACUGGCAUGUCGUGGCAUGUCCUGUCGGUGGUGACCGGGGUCCCGGGUACUGAAGUUUUCUGAGGUACCCGAUCAGAUUCCCGGUUGCCGACUAUAUCCUACCGCGGUGCUCUUCAUUGAGUGUCGAGGCAGGCCGACACGUUCACUUUGAACAAAUUAGAGUGCUUAAAGCAGGCCAAAAUCUCCGCCUGAAUAGUGGUGCAUGGAAUGAUAGAACAGGACCUUGGUUCUAUUUUAUUGGUUUUCGGAACACAAGGUAAUGAUCAAUGUGGACAGGCGGGGGCAUUCGUAUUGCGACGUUAGAGGUGAAAUUCUUGGAUCGUCGCAAGACGCACUAGAGCGAAAGCAUUUGCCAAGUAUGUCUUAAUUGAUCAAGAACGAAAGUUAGAGGUUCGAAGGCGAUCAGAUACCGCCCUAGUUCUAACCAUAAACGAUGCCAGCCAGCGAUCCGCCGAUGUUCCUCCGAUGACUCGGCGGGGAGCUUUCCCCGGGAAACCAAAGCUUUUGGGUUCCGGGGGAAGUAUGGUUGCAAAGCUGAAACUUAAAGGAAUUGACGGAAGGGCACCACCAGGAGUGGAGCCUGCGGCUUAAUUUGACUCAACACGGGAAACCUCACCAGGUCAGGACAUUGGAAGGAUUGACAGAUUGAUAGCUCUUUCUUGAUUCAGUGGGUAGUGGUGCAUGGCCGUUCUUAGUUGGUGGAUCGAUUUGUCUGGUUAAUUCCGAUAACGWACGAGACUCUAGCCUAUUNAUUAGGCGUUUCUGGUAUCGUAGCUACCAGCGACACAUAUUCUUCUU
rnacentral:rRNA from 1 species